CGGGGUGUGGCGCAGCUUGGUAGCGCGCGUCGUUCGGGACGACGAGGCCGCAGGUUCGAAUCCUGUCACCCCGACCA
rnacentral:tRNA from 1 species